UACGGAGGGUGCAAACGUUGCUCGGAAUCAUUGGGCGUAAAGCGAACGUAGGCGGCUUUGUAAGUCGGGUGUGAAAGCCCUCGGCUCAACCGAGGAAGUGCAUUCGAAACUGCAUGGCUUGAGUGUCGGAGAGGAUAGCGGAAUUCCCGGUGUAGAGGUGAAAUUCGUAGAUAUCGGGAGGAACACCAGUGGCGAAGGCGGCUAUCAGGACGAACACUGACGCUGAAGUUCGAAAGCGUGGGGAGCAAACAGG
rnacentral:rRNA from 1 species